CGAGGUCGCCGGUGAGACAUUGCCACGUUAGUCUGUUUGGCGUAGGUUCUUUCUCAGUUUUAACACAAACUUCUGUCAAGAUGGUCUCGGUUGUAAAUACAGUUGACACGGCCCAUGAAGAUAUGAUCCAUGACGCUCAGAUGGAUUAUUAUGGUAUUCGUUUAGCAACGUGUUCGUCAGACAGAUCUGUGAAAAUAUUCGAUGUCAAAAAUGGACAACAAACUUUAGUAGCCAAUCUUACUUU